rnacentral:rRNA from 1 species
UACGUUGGGGGCAAGCGUUAUCCGGAAUUACUGGGUGUAAAGGGAGAGUAGGCGGCAAGGUAAGCGAUAUGUGAAAGCCUUAGGCUUAACCUGAGGAUUGCAUAACGAACUAUCUAGCUAGAGUACAGGAGAGGAAAGCGGAAUUCCUAGUGUAGCGGUGAAAUGCGUAGAUAUUAGGAAGAACACCAGUGGCGAAGGCGGCUUUCUGGACUGAAACUGACGCUGAGGCUCGAAAGCGUGGGGAGCGAACAGG